rnacentral:lncRNA from 1 species
AACCAUACGCGAAGUCUUAUGCAUCCACUAGCGCUCGUAAUGGUGGGGCCGCCCCUCUAGACUCUGAACAAUAGAGCCACUGAUGAGGAGACGGGUCUCCACGUGGGUGAACUCGGGUCACAAGUUCCUCCAAAUAGUGGGUGCAAAUUGGACCUGCCACGUGCCACGACCACGUCAAAGUGCGCUACAGCAGAAAUCCCACGUUUGUCAUUUUGCUACUAAAAUGUACGAAAUAAAAUUGCAUGCAACGGC